GACGAACCGAGCGAACGUUAUUCGGAAUCACUGGGCUUAAAGGGCGCGUAGGCGGGCCCGAAAGUCAGGGGUGAAAGCCCCCAGCUCAACUGGGGAAGUGCCUCUGAUACUGCGGGCCUCGAGCGAGGUAGGGGCGUGCGGAACUUCCGGUGGAGCGGUGAAAUGCGUAGAUAUCGGAAGGAACAUCGGUGGCGAAAGCGGCGCGCUGGACCUCUUCUGACGCUGAGGCGCGAAAGCCAGGGGAGCGAACGGG
rnacentral:rRNA from 1 species